rnacentral:rRNA from 1 species
AAGUUUGAUCCUGGCUCAGGAUGAACGCUGCGGCGUGCUUAACACAUGCAAGUCGAACGAGAAUCAGUGGAUUGAGGAUUCGUCCAAAAUGAAACUGAGGAAAGUGGCGACGGGUGAGUAACGCGUGAGCAAUCUGCCUUGGAGUGGGGAAUAACGGCUGGAAACAGCCGCUAAUACCGCAUGAUACAGUUGGGAGGCAUCUCUCUGACUGUCAAAGAUUUAUCGCUCUGAGAUGAGCUCGCGUCUGAUUAGCUGGUUGGCGGGGUAACGGCCCACCAAGGCGACGAUCAGUAGCCGGACUGAGAGGUUGGCCGGCCACAUUGGGACUGAGACACGGCCCAGACUCCUACGGGAGGCAGCAGUGGGGAAUAUUGGGCAAUGGGCGCAAGCCCGACCCAGCAACGCCGCGUGAAGGAAGAAGGCUUUCGGGUUGUAAACUUCUUUUCUGGGGGACGAACAAAUGACGGUACCCCAGGAAUAAGCCACGGCUAACUACGUG